rnacentral:rRNA from 1 species
GACGAACGCUGGCGGCGUGCUUAACACAUGCAAGUCGAACGGUAAGGCCCUUCGGGGUACACGAGUGGCGAACGGGUGAGUAACACGUGGGUGUUCUGCCCUGCACUUCGGGAUAAGCCUGGGAAACUGGGUCUAAUACCGGAUAGGACCACUGCCUGCAUGCGUGGUGGUGGAAAGCUUUUGCGGUGUGGGAUGGGCCCGCGGCCUAUCAGCUUGUUGGUGGGGUGAUGGCCUACCAAGGCGACGACGGGUAGCCGGCCUGAGAGGGUGACCGGCCACACUGGGACUGAGAUACGGCCCAGACUCCUACGGGAGGCAGCAGUGGGGAAUAUUGCACAAUGGGCGCAAGCCUGAUGCAGCGACGCCGCGUGAGGGAUGACGGCCUUCGGGUUGUAAACCUCUUUCAGCACCGACGAAGCGCAAGUGACGGUAGGUGCAGAAGAAGGACCGGCCAACUACGUGCCAGCCGCCGCGGUAA